rnacentral:rRNA from 1 species
GAUGAGCGCUGGCGGCGUGCCUAAUACAUGCGAGUCGAGCGAACAGACGAGGAGCUUGCUCCUCUGACGUUAGCGGCGGACGGGUGAGUAACACGUGGAUAACCUACCUAUAAGACUGGGAUAACUUCGGGAAACCGGAGCUAAUACCGGAUAAUAUAUUGAACCGCAUGGUUCAAUAGUGAAAGACGGUUUUGCUGUCACUUAUAGAUGGAUCCGCGCCGCAUUAGCUAGUUGGUAAGGUAACGGCUUACCAAGGCAACGAUGCGUAGCCGACCUGAGAGGGUGAUCGGCCACACUGGAACUGAGACACGGUCCAGACUCCUACGGGAGGCAGCAGUAGGGAAUCUUCCGCAAUGGGCGAAAGCCUGACGGAGCAACGCCGCGUGAGUGAUGAAGGUCUUCGGAUCGUAAAACUCUGUUAUUAGGGAAGAACAAAUGUGUAAGUAACUAUGCACGUCUUGACGGUACCUAAUCAGAAAGCCACGGCUAACUACGUG